AUUGAACGCUGGCGGCAGGCCUAACACAUGCAAGUCGAGCGAGCGGCGGACGGGUGUGAAAAGUUUCGGAAACUGCCUGAUGGAGGGGGAGAACUACUGGAAACGGGAGAUCAUACCGCAUACCAUCAGAUGUGCCCCGAUGGGGUGGGCAGGGAGGUGGGGUAACGGCUCACCCAGGCGCCGCUCCCUAGCUGGGCUGAGAGGAUGACCAGCCACACGGGAACUGAGACACUGUUCAGACCCAUACGGGAGGCAGCAGUGGGGAAGAUUGCAAAAGGGGCGCAAGCCUGAUGCAGCCAUGCCGCGGGUAUGAAGAAGGCCUUCGGGUUGUAAAGUACUUUCAGCGGGGAGGCGUUACCCGCAGAAGAAGCACCGGCUAACUCCGUGCCAGCAGCCGCGGUAAUAC
rnacentral:rRNA from 1 species